rnacentral:rRNA from 1 species
AGCGAACGCUGGCGGCAUGCCUAACACAUGCAAGUCGCACGGGGGGGCUUCUGCCUCCCAGUGGCGGACGGGUGAGGAACGCGUAGGGACCUGUCGAGGGGUGGGGGAUAACCGCGGGAAACUGCGGCUAAUACCGCAUGACGCCGCGGCGUGACAGCCGGGGCCAAAGGCGAAAGCCGCCCGCCGAGGGGCCUGCGUCCGAUUAGCUGGUUGGCGGGGUAGCGGCCCACCAAGGCGUCGAUCGGUAGCUGGUCUGAGAGGGUGAUCAGCCACACCGGGACUGAGACACGGCCCGGACUCCUACGGGAGGCAGCAGUGGGGAAUAUUGGACAAUGGGCGCAAGCCUGAUCCAGCAAUGCCGCGUGGGUGAAGAAGGUCUUCGGAUUGUAAAGCCCUUUCGGCGGGGACGAUGGUGACGGUACCCGCAGAAGAAGCCCCGGCUAACUUCGUG